AAUGAACGCUGGCGGCGUGCCUAACACAUGCAAGUCGGAUGUGCCCGCAAGGGUGCAUGGCAGACGGGUGAGUAACGCGUGGGAAACCUACCUCUUUGUGGGGAAUAACGCUCCGAAAGGAGUGGUAAUACCGCAUGAGACCAUGGACUGGGAUGUUCAUGGUGAAACCUGGGGACCGCAAGGCCUGGGGGCAAGGAGAGGGUCCUGCGUCUGAUUAGCUAGUUGGUGGGUAACGGCCUACCAAGGCGACGAUCAGUAGCCGGCCUGAGAGGGUGAUCGGCCACACUGGAACUGAGACACGGUCCAGACUCCUACGGGAGGCAGCAGUGGGGAAUUUUGCGCAAUGGGCGAAAGCCUGACGCAGCAACGCCGCGUGGGUGAUGAA
rnacentral:rRNA from 1 species